GUGCCACCAACUUGUUCUCUUCUCCUCUAGAACCUUUACCCAGCUUUUCCAUGGCCCCCAGUAGUUUCCCUGCUAUGUUGCUUUGAUAAACUCAUGGACUUCAGGAUCAACUCCGAUCCUGCAAAGACAAUGUAUAGCAUAACAAACAUCAGAUAAGAACAUGUAACUACAUCCAUUUACUACACGAUUAAGUAUACCUAACACUUAGCUACUAAGUUCAUUAACUACAUGGUUAAGUAAAUGAUAUCACUUACCACAAUGCUCCAUUGAUCUUAUCAGGAUGGAGGUGUGGCUGGUUAAUUUUGGAUGGAGCACGUAGCAGAGCCUCUUCCGUUCUCCUCUCAUAUGUUGGAGGAGGAGGAGAAGAGGAGCCGCAGAUGAAGUUGAAGAGCCGACCAUUGCAGGAGGUCUUGUUGGUUGAGCAGAAGCAAGAGUCAUACCAGGAGGCAUUGAAGCGGUUCUCAUUUGGGGUCUCACGUUUCUGACAACUACAUACAGAGAAACAGAAGAAGCGGUUAAGAUUGAAACCUUGAUUGAAACCCUAUAUCGAAACCAUAAACCCUAAGCAAACUGAAACCAAACCGUAACCCCAAAACAAAACCAUAACGCUAACUUGAAACCCAAAUGAAAACCCAAAAUCAAAACCCUACUCUAAACAAAAGCAACACCGAACCCCAAAUUGAAACCCUAAUCAAAACCCA
rnacentral:lncRNA from 1 species